GACGAACGCUGGCGGCGUGCUUAACACAUGCAAGUCGAACGGUGAAGCUCCAGCUUGCUGGAGUGGAUCAGUGGCGAACGGGUGAGUAACACGUGAGCAACCUGCCCCUGACUCUGGAAUAAGCGCUGGAAACGGCGUCUAAUACUGGAUACGAGAAGGGUCCGCAUGGGCACUUUCUGGAAAGUUUUUCGGUUGGGGAUGGGCUCGCGGCCUAUCAGCUUGUUGGUGAGGUAAUGGCUCACCAAGGCGACGACGGGUAGCCGGCCUGAGAGGGCGACCGGCCACACUGGGACUGAGACACGGCCCAGACUCCUACGGGAGGCAGCAGUGGGGAAUAUUGCACAAUGGGCGAAAGCCUGAUGCAGCGACGCCGCGUGAGGGAUGACGGCCUUCGGGUUGUAAACCUCUUUCAGCAGGGAAGAAGCGAAAGUGACGGUACCUGCAGAAGAAGCACCGGCUAACCACGUG
rnacentral:rRNA from 1 species